UUGGUUAUAGCUCAGUUUGGUAGAGUGCAUGCAUGCACGUAUGUAUGAUGUCCUGGGUUCAAUACCCAGCUUCUACC